UGGGGAAUUUUGGACAAUGGGCGAAAGCCUGAUCCAGCAAUGCCGCGUGUGUGAAGAAGGCCUUCGGGUUGUAAAGCACUUUUGUCCGGAAAGAAAUGGCUCUGGUUAAUACCUGGGGUCGAUGACGGUACCGGAAGAAUAAGGACCGGCUAACUACGUGCCAACAGCCGCGGUAAUACGUAGGGUCCAAGCGUUAAUCGGAAUUACUGGGCGUAAAGCGUGCGCAGGCGGUUGUGCAAGACCGAUGUGAAAUCCCCGAGCUUAACUUGGGAAUUGCAUUGGUGACUGCACGGCUAGAGUGUGUCAGAGGGGGGUAGAAUUCCACGUGUAGCAGUGAAAUGCGUAGAGAUGUGGAGGAAUACCGAUGGCGAAGGCAGCCCCCUGGGAUAACACUGACACUCAUGCACGAAAGCGUGGGGAGCAAACAGGAUUAGAUACCCUGGUAGUCCACGCCCCUAAACGAUGUGCAACUAGGUUGUUGGGGAUUCAUUUCCUUAGUACGUAGCUAACGCGUGAAGUUG
rnacentral:rRNA from 1 species